GACAGAGGUGCCAAGCGUUAGGCGGAAUCACUGGGCUUAAAGCGUGUGUAGGCGGACCGUUAAGUACCUUGGGAAAUCCUGCGGCUCAACCGCAGAACGGCUGGGUAUACUGGCGGUCUUGGGCCACCUAGGGGCAGAUGGAACAGACGGUGGAGCGGUGAAAUGCGUAGAUAUCGCUUGGAACGCCAACGGUGAAAACAGGUUGCUGGGGGUGUGCUGACGCUGAGACACGAAAGCCAGGGGAGCGAACGGG
rnacentral:rRNA from 1 species